GUGUGUAUUCUCUUGAUGGGGAGAGAUGAACCCUUCAGCUGCUAAGAUCCAAGAAAAUGCCUCACUGCCUUAACCUUAACUGUUCUUCCUGGCGCUAAAAAGAGCUGUAUUUUUUAAAGUGCUGGGGCAAACAAAGCAACCCCAAAAGAGUUGAUGUGUGUUUUAAAAGAAAAAACCCAAUGAGGAGCAACUGGAGAUUUUUAUGCAGAAACUAAAUAAUCCUUAAUAAAUAAAUCUCUAUUUUGGAAUCACAAAAAAAAAAAAAAGAAAACAUACCAAAAAAAGUAGAAUCAGGCCAUUGUAAGUA
rnacentral:lncRNA from 10 species